GAGGAAUUGGCGGGGGAGCACCGCAACGGGAGGAGCGUGCGGUUUAAUUGGAUUCAACACCGGAAAACUCACCAAGGGCGACUGUUACAUGAAGGCCAGGCCGACGACCUUGCCGGAUUUUCAGAGAGGUGGUGCAUGCCCGUCGUCAGUUGGUACCGUAAGGCGUUCUCUUAAGUGAGAUAACGACGAGACCCUCACCGAUAAUCGCUACUUCUUCUUCCGGGGAGGAGGCACAUUAUCGGGACCCCUGACGCUAAGCCAGAGGAACGAGAGGUCGACGGUAGGUCAGUAUGCCCCGAAUCUUUGGGCUACACGCGCGCUACAAAGGGCGGGACAAUGGGCUCAGCCGCCGAGAGGCCGAGGCAAUCCCGAAACCCGUCCGUAGUUCGGAUUGAGGGCUGUAACCCGCCCUCAUGAAGAUGGAUUCCGUAGUAAUCGCGAAUCAACAACUUGCGGCGAAUAUGCCCCUGCUCCUUGCCCACACCGC
rnacentral:rRNA from 1 species